CUGACUUUCUGAAAUGGUUUGAGGAUCGACAGACUUCGGGUUCCACUGCUACCAUUGCAGACGCUGGUACUUCCUUUGCUGGCAUAUCUCAUUCUUCAGGUCCUUGGGUUCUUAAUUCUGGGGCCACCGAUCAUAUCACUGGACCGGAGUACGGGGAGGAUGAUUGGCUUCGGAUGUGAAUCUCAUGGCCUAUAUCGGCUU